UACAGAGGUCCCAAGCGUUGUUCGGAUUCACUGGGCGUAAAGGGUGCGUAGGUGGUGGAUUAAGUCGGGUGUGAAAUCUCCGGGCUCAACCCGGAGGGUGCGCCCGAAACUGAUCUGCUCGAGGGUGGGAGGGGAGACUGGAAUUCUCGGUGUAGCAGUGAAAUGCGUAGAUAUCGAGAGGAACACCGGUGGCGAAGGCGAGUCUCUGGACCACUCCUGACACUGAGGCACGAAAGCCGGGGGAGCAAACAGG
rnacentral:rRNA from 1 species